CAUUAGCUUGAAAAGAACACAGAACUUGAGUAAAAUUUUUCUUGACGUUAGUUGAGCCAGUCUAAGAAUAACACCCUGCCAGAAACAAAAUAGCACUGGGACAUCCCAUUCUGAUGCAGGUCCAUUAACUGAGUGGCUGACCACCAGCCACACGCAUAACUGCUCAUCUCCUCCAGCCCACAGACCUGUGCACAAGACCGGGGAUGGGCCCUGCUGCCAAUGCCCAAAUUGCUUCAAGUGUUACCAGAGACUCAUGGCCAAACCAAGGCUCCACUGUGCGGGCCCAUGGGUGUGCCCCACUUCAACACAGGUCAAAUCCAUGACCUCAGCACCCCCAAGUAAAAUAAGCACCGGCCCUUACUCCUAACACACUGUUCAGAAAUACAAUUACACAGAGCAAUAAAAAAGAUGUACCUUUGACUGCGUAACAGGUUUGACCUGUAGUACUUUCAUUAUUAAGAUAAAAAUCUCCGCCCUCUAAGGUAACUUGAUCACAGGAGGCCCGUGCAAGUUCCCACUGAUUUGUGUAGCAGGAGGAGCAGGCUAUCAUUCUGUUGCAGUGAUUAGAAAGCCAGUCAUCAACCCCAAGUUUUAGGAAAGCCACGGAAAUGAUGAUGUCCUUUAGAGAUAUUUUCCAAACUGAAAAAGGGUGCAGAAUAACACAGGACCCCUCACAGUGGCCUACAGUCCAUCACAACAGAGGAUCCUUCUGCAGGCACAGUUGCUGAGCUGAACUAAAGCGCUCAAUGCUUGCAGUGCCAUCAGCAAUAUGGGACAGAUGGAAAGCACAGGGACUGUUUUGGGCCCUCCUGGCAAUGACGGCACAUCCCCUUCCCUUAUCCCAUCUGCCAGGACAGGCAGGAGGAGAUAAGAAAGUAGAAACAGGGAAAAACCAGUCCUCACAGUAACGCUCGAGCCAGAGCUCUGGACUCGUCAAACAUGACAAGGAAGCUUCCCAACUGCGCUCUGCGGGGGGGGGCCCGUCAGCCACAGCCACACACGAUUUGCUCAUAAGCCAAACUGACCUGAUGCAGCAGCACUGCAACCCCAGCUGCAUAUACUGCUGGGCUGCUAAAUUAUGACCUUGCUAAACUUCACUGCAGGCUCCAGGCAGCGGCUUCUGAGACAGCUCUGGUCAAGCCCCACAGGUCCUGGCAAGGCAUUCCAAGGCCCCUGGACCAACAGCCAUCUUGCUGCAGGGGACCUGGAAUGUGUGUGCUUUCAUCCCCUCUUGGUCACAUGUUAGACCUGGAGGAUGUGUGGGCCAGAAACCUGCAGGCUCCCCAAGGAAAGAGCCUGUGCUCCCAGGGUCACAGGGAAUGUGGCUGUCCAAUUGCUUCUGAAACCACCCAGCGACAAGAAGUUGUAUGGAAAUCAGCCAUAGUGAGGACUAAAAAACAAUUUUCUCCUUUCUUCAGAACAAGGCAAGAGGUAUAGAAGGAAGAUCACGUAUUUUUAUUAUAGAGGAACAGUUAUCUUCUAGUAUGAUUUUAAAACUAAAAGCCUCAUAAUGAACUCCGAAAAUCAUCUUAAAUUUUGUAAAAACAAACAAAAUACCUUCCAAAACAAAACCCGGGCUAUGCCAGCAUCCGUCCCUUGGUAUCACACCCUUUCUGAGGAUGGGAGGGUGGGUGUGGCCCCACACAAACUCCACACCUGUCUACUGAAGAAAGGGAUAAAUUAUGUUUGUGUGGCAUCUCUUUCAAGUCUAGAUGUAAUGAGCAGACCGUUGUCAGUUUGGAAAAACAAGUGAUAGUUGAUUUUGUGCAUAUUAAAGAGGACACAGCUUCCCACUAAGCUCAUCAGCCAACAUACGGUUUACAAAUGGGCUCGCAGAGGGCCGCGAGGAGCUGCAGUCAGGCCCAACGUCAAGGUCUGACACUGUCCACGAGCUGGUCACUCUGGGUUUACCGUGGCCAUCUGUGUGACACAGAACCAGGACAGCCAACAGCGAGGGAUUAAAGUCCCUGCCAGGAGGUUUCACAACCCAGCUCUACCUGUGGCUGGGCUUCUGCCCCUGCCCACUCUGAGGGCGAGUACCGGUUUCCUGGGUCCGGGCACUUUAAACCACAGCAGAGACCAGGACCAGGGCUUCGUGAAGGCAUCUCCUUCCUGCAACCCCUUGAGGCAACACAGCAGACACCAGCAGGGAUGGGAAACAGCAGACAUUCUCAGCUUGGGGAGUUUCUCGAAGUCAGCAGAGAAGUAGCUGGCUGUGCUAAUUACCUCCCACUGGAAACCAGUAUCUACUCAUACCACAGGGUAGUUCAAACCAUAACAGCUUAGCAGAGCAAGCUGUAGUUAGGGGUUCAUGUCAACCCCACACUUAUGUGGCUGCUGAGACAUGGCUGUAAGGGAUCUGAGCAGGGGCUUGUGGCUCACAAGGGCUGGUGAUGCCCUCCUCUACAGAGUUCAAAACAAGCCCGUCUCCCCGGUGGGGGGAAACAGAUGUGUCACUGUCCCUACUGGGGGCCAGGCAAGAGAAAAGGAAGCAAAGACAAGCACAAAUCCAGGCUCGAAACACAGGCCUGAUGGCCAGAGAGUAACAUUACUGUUUUCGGAAAUGAAGGAAUGUUUCAGUAUGUCAGGACAGGGAUCCCUGAUGCCGUGUGUUACAGGGAAAUGUGUCAGCCCCAAUCAUAAAGUACGUCUUAUUACAAGGAAGCCCUAACACUUAAUGCACUGGAUUUGAACGAGACUCUCCAUGAACUGCUUGGCAGGGACAGGACACCAUGCACAGGCUACACUGGAGCACCGAGCUGAGGGCCCAGGUCCAUCACACAGCACCACUGCGAGGUUAAGACCAAAGCAACGACACGUGGACUCUGAUCAAUGAGGACAGAGCUCUGUCUGCAGGGGCGGCCCCUCUGUCUGUCUGGCUGCAGCUGAGCUGUGGGUCAUCACAACAGGGGAACACAGCUCCCCAAGCGCCUCAAGGGGAGACUGAGCCUGGAGUCUGACGACGCGUGGGGCAGAGCCUCAGGAGCCUGUCCCCACCCCCACCACUACCACUACCCUCUACUGCAGGCCCCAUUCCCUGCUCACAAACUCUCCCCAAGGAAGAGGGCCAGGACCACUCACCGGAUUUGGAUCUUCCAUGAGCAGCAUUUGAGGCAAUACUGAGAGACUGGGGCUUUAUGGGGUCCCCCAGGACAGGAAAGCUUCCAGCACUGGGAACCUGGAUGUAAGGCCCCACAGCAGCGACCCUGCCAGAUGUGCUCAGAGGUGACUGUGGUGAUGACGUGCCAUUCACACGGUUCAGCUACAAAUUGGGAAGAAAUGAGAGUCAAGAUUCUCCUAAAUUAAAAGAGAUCCCAAGCCUGGUACAACAGACUCCCAGCUCGGACAGAAACCACCGGUAUUUAGGAAGGCUGUCAUCUGGAAAGAUCAGCAUCUAGAAAGAGAGACUCUGGAGAAGGAACUGUAGCUUCCUACGAGCAAUUCUCUGACAACACCCACCCCUCCAGAGCCGCACACAUGAGGAACUGGUGUGAGCCCAGAGCAACUUCCCCGUGACCCAUACUUAGCUUCCUUCGCUCUUCCUCCCGUGGUGGGCACAGAGGCACUCGUCAAAUUCUGGGCUCUGAGCCUGGCUUCAAAUCCCCUCUGUCACUUAUUCACUAUGGGCUUUAGGCAGGUGACUCAGCCUCUGUGCCCACAUCUGUAAAUUCAGGACACGGGCUGUAGUCAGUACUGUCCGAGCUGCAUAGGGCACGGUGACCAGACAGAGCUCUGGCUCCUGGCAGUGGGUCCAGUUCCCUGAAGGCAGCUCUGCCCUUCUUAGCCAGGACAGAGGGCGCUGUUCACAUAAUGCUGCUCAAGAACAAAGGGGCUUGGAGCAGGGGCUCUAACUAGAGAACUACUGACUCCCCAAGAUCCCAGUAUAGGCUCUGAAUGGGAACCCCUAUGAUGGUCUGUGAGGUUCUGUUUGCAUGAGCGUCGGUCAUUCUGGGGUGAGGGUCUCGGCAUUCAGAAUUGCUCAGUGGUACUGAGGACCUUUGAGUGGAGACGCAUCUCUGCAGAAGUACUGACUUUAGGUGAGCCCCUGAAGUACAGGUGGAAUGAAUCGAGCUGUUUGUGCUGCUUCACUUCCUCCAUCAACUAGGCCACAGUAACUGGUUAUUUAGUCAAACACCAAAUUAGACGUUGCUGAAAAGGUGCUUUCUAGAUGAGAUUAAUCUUUUUUUUUUUUUUUUAAUUUCCACAGGUUACCAGGGAACAGGUGGAGUUUGGUUACAUAAGUAGGUUCUUUAGUGAUUUGUGAGGCUUGGUGCACCCAUCGUCUGAGCAGUAUACACUGCACUCAAUUUGUAGUCUUGUAUCCUUCACCCCCUUCCCACCCCUUCCCUCGGAGUCCCCAAAGCCCACUGUGUCACUUUUAUGCUUUGCAUCCUUAUAGCUUAGCUCCCAGGUAUGAGUGAGGACAUACAAUGUGUGGUUUUCCAUUCCUGAGUUACUGCACUUAGAAUCAUGGUCUCCAAUCUGGAUGAGAUUAAUUUAUAAAAUGGCAGAUUUGAGUAAAGCAGAUGACCCUCUAUAAGGUGGGUGGGCCCCAUCCAAUCAGUGGAAUGGCCUAAGAGAACAAGACAGACUCCCUGAGAAAGUGGGAUCCUGCCCAGAGUCAGCCUUCGGGCUCUAGACUCUCCCCUGGCCCUCCAGGCUGCCGGCCGGCCUCGCAGGUUUUGGACUUGCCAACAUCCACAAUCACGUGAGCCAAUUCCUUAAGGUAAAUCUCUCUUCCUUUCUCUCUCUCCACACAUGCACACACGCACGCACUACUGGUUCUCUUUCUGUAGGGAGCCCUGACUACUACGUCAUUCCUGAAGAACACACGUAAGCACAGAGAAGGUGCUUGCAGCUUCUCUCUCACAUGGCCUCUCUGUGUUAAUCCUGAGAGAAAAAGGAUAACCAACAUCUGAAAUCAUAAAGCUGUACAAUAAACUGAUCUUUAAACUCACUGUUUUGUUGUUGUUUUUUUAAACGAAGGGCAGAUUUGUAAAUAAGAGACUGUGACACCCACAGAAUUGGAAGCUCCCUUCUUUGUCUACCAUCCUGUAAACCCACUUCCCCUGGGCAAAGCCCCUCAAGUCCAUGCUGCCUCCUUGAAGCAUCUACCAGAGCAGAAGAGGCUGACAAGAGGACACUCUUCUGUCACCAAAGCAUGAGAACAUCAGUCACUGAAUAUGCAGAAGGAAGCUGUGGGAAGGGCGUCUUUGCUGGCAGGUCACCUGCUCCACUCUCCUACCACGAGGGCAGAGUGUACUCAGCUUUGCAUUCAGGCCUAAUCACUGAGUGUCACAGGUGCGAGAAAAGAAAAUGCCACAUCCGGCCACAGACACAGUGCAGACGCCCCUCCUCUAUGCAGGUGGCUCAGUGGUACACAUGCUCACCAAUGCACUGUGAGUGACAGCAAGACUGAGGACUCCCUGCCUGACUACAGAGGCUGGCAAAGGGGUUACCGGCUCUGGGACCACAGAAUAACUUUCAGAUGGUGCAAUGAGAAUGAGGUAACGACCUGGAAAGACACCCAUGGUGCAGUUAAAAAAUGACCAGCGUAAUUCCUGCAAUCCCAUUUUCAAUUAAAGUUCUGUAUCUUUGUGUGUUUAUUAAGCAGAAGACUGAAACCAUUAGAAACUAUCACCUCUAGAGAACUGGCUGGAAAGGACUUUCACAUUUUCCCUUCAGUGUUUCUGUCCUUAAGAGAUUUCUCUUCAGGAAUUGACUCAUGUGAUUGUGGAUGCUGGCAAGUCCAAAAUCUCUGACAGUGAAUUUCAAAGGUAAUAAAUACUCAUUUAAAAAAAUGAGUAUUUAUUUAAUGAGUAUUUUAUUACCUUUGAAAUUCAGUAUGAAAUAAAGAUUUUUCAGAAGUAUAACCCCUUAUAUGGCAUUUUGCUCCAGAGUUUACAAAAUCCUUCCACACGGCUUAUUUAUAAGAAUCCCCACAGCUCCUCAUGGGGCAGUUAGGGCCAGUCACUUUACAGCAGGACAUGAGGCUAUGCAAGGAAUCUGCUCAAAGUGACACAGCUUAAAAUGGCAUAGUGAGGACCGUGCCAGAUGCUGUGACUCCAGAGCCAACAGCAUCCCCCAGACAAGAAAAGAAACAGACGGGGAAGAAGGAAGGCUAGGACACUGGGCACAAGGCUGCAGGCUGGGGGUGGUUUUGCCUCCACAUACUAGGAAACAAAUGAGUCACUGGGAGAAGGAACCUUGUUCUGUGGUUUUUGAUGGUUUAUGGCCUAUUGAUGUGUUGUCAGCUAUGGUGGACGGGGGAGUAUAAUGCCACUUAGAGAAGAUGUGUAGUAGCUUAUCUCGCAAAAACAUUCUUUAUCACAUGCCUGAAUCUUUUUCCCAUAGAGACGUUCACGCAGUUCACCGAUUCGCUUGUCCAUCAUGGCCACCUCCAUGUUGCGCUUAUUUAAGAGUUCCUUCUGUUGCUGAAGUUUUGAAUUUUGUUCCUGGUUAAGCUGGUUACGAAUCUACAAACCACAAAAGACAACUUUUACGAUCUGCACUGAUUAAAAAUCAAAUUCUCAUGGCCAGGGAGAUUAAAAAGAAAAAAGUAGCCUUAAGUUCUGAUAUUUACAUGCAUCCACUGCCACUUUGUGUGAAAUACUUUACAGGUACAGCCAAGAUGAAGCCAGGACAGAGUUCUCAUGGAACAAACAGAGUAAACAUCUGUAAUGCACCUUCUUUAGAGCACGGGACAUGACUAGUCUCAAUGAUGACAGGAGACUAACUGCCAUAUUUGGGACUCUCAGAAACUAAAGGAUGCUCUGUUCCACUCCAUGGAGCUGCUUCAGGCCUGAGCCCACCGCAUGACGUGCCUCACUGUGGAGGCAACAGGAAAUUCAGUGGGGACCAAAAAGGACGGCCUGAUUCACCAAGUAAAGCACCUUACGUCAUUUUAGUGGCUUGCAACCAGCAUUUUUAAGAAAUGAACUAGGACAAAACAGAAAAUAUCAGAGUGCACUUCGCACAGGAAGAGCAGUCUUAAACUUUCAGAUGCCCACAGCACUAGUGCAUAUACACUUCCAUGUGUACGAUUCUCCUGAGGGAGGAGAAUCACUUGGAACUCAGGAGGUGGAGGUUGCAGUAAGCUGAGAUCGCCCCACUGCAUCCAGCCCGGGCGACAGAGCCAGACUCCAUCUCAAAAACAAAACGAAACAAAACAAACCAACCAACAAACAAAACACUACACUGCAGUCCAGAAAGUUGGAAAUAAAUGACAUCCUUAUAUUACACUCCUCACAUUUCAUCAAAACAUCCUUAAAAACCCUGCACUUUUAACGAGUGCUUAAAGUGUAAAAGUCAUCAAACCCUGUAAUACUACAGCACUUCUGUGCAUUUAUGUUAAAGAACUUAACAGCAACCACAGCGGCUUUACUCUAUGUAGUUAAAUACUCUCAUUUCAUAAAAUGAUACAAUACUUUUUCUAGCACGUGCUAAUAAAGCGGCAAGACCUAUGUCUGGCUUGAAAAAUCGCCUGCUGAAUGACAACUUCUGAGAAAUGAAAAUCUUGAGGACUGUUAUGGACUGAAUGUGUCCCCGCUAAAUGUAUAUGUUGAAGCCCUAACCUUAAUGUGAUGAUGUCUGAGGGCAGGGUCUUGAGGAGGUAGUCAGGUUUACGCAAGGUCACGAGGGUGGGGCCCCCAUGCUGGAGUUAAUGGAAAGAAACUAAACUCUCUCUCCACUAUGUGGGGACGCUGUGCGAAGGUCGCUGUCUGCAAGCCAGGGAGUGGGAACUGAAUCUGCCAGCGCCUUGACCUUGAACUUCCGGCCUCCAGAACAGUAAAAAAUAAAGGUCUAUUGUGUGAGCCAUCCAGCCUGUGGGGUAUUUUGUUAUAGCAGUCUGAACUAACAUAAGGAUUUAACAAUAAGCACGUAGCUCAUCAAAACAGUUUACACAAAGACCUUAAAUAUCAUCUAAAGCUUUUCUUUAUUGGAUUAUUAUCUGCUAAUUAAAUUCUUUUGUGCUGAAAACAUCCUAAGUGAAAGAAGCCAGUCACAAAGGACUGCAUACAGGGUGUGUUUUGGUUAAUAUCCCUUAACCAAAAUGCUUGGGACCCAGAAGCAUUUCAGACUUUAGAUUCAUCCAGAUUUUUAAAUAUUUACGUUAUUUUUGCCUGUUUAGCAUCCUUCCUAAUCUGGAAAUCCAAAAUCCAAAAUGCCCCGAUGAGCAUGUAUUUCCCUUGUGUGUCACAGUGGAGCUCAGAGUUUCAGAUUGGAGGCAUUUUGUAUUUCAGGAUUAAGGAUGCUCAGUCGGUCCUGUGUGACUCCACUCAUACAAAAUGCCCACAAUAGGCAAACCUACAGACAGAGAGUACACUUGUGGUUCCCAGGCUCUGGAGGCUAUGGAGGUUGUGGAGUGACGGCUAAGAGGUCUGGGCCUUCUUUUUGGGUAAUAAAAGUGUUCUAAAACGAAUUGUGGUGGUGGAUAUAACUCUGACAACUCUGGGAAGGCACUAAAGCCAUGGAAUUGUAUACUUUAAAUGGACGAAUAUGUUGUAUGCAUUAUAUCUCAAGUCAUUUUAAAAUUAUUUUAUACUGAAUAUAUCUGUGCCUACUGUUAAAUUAGAAUUCAUUAAUUUGUUCCAUUUCCCAAGGUUUCCAACCCAUGCUAACAAAGCUGGAGAGAUGACAAUGUUUUCAUACAACCAUUCCCAGACCCAGGAGUUACCUGUAGUUCCUGGUAUAGUCUUUUUAACUCCACUGCUGCUGGUCCUGUCAAUUUGCCAUUGUAAGACUGGAACCCAUUCAGUUUUCCCUUCUUUAAAUCUUCCAACUGCUGACUCAGCUGAUCAACCCUUAAAAUUGCAGUCUGUACUUCCUGCUUCUUUUCCUGGAACAUGGCACUGAACCUUUCUAUUUCAGCAGCUGUAAGUGCCCACGAAAGAAAGAAAGAAAGAAUAAAAUAUUUAGCUGGUCUUCCCCGCUGCCCCAUUCCUAUAUACUUAAUUCUGUUAUCAUCUAGUGCCAGACCUUGGAAAAAGUUGUGAUAUGCAGAAUCCAAAACACAAUUCAAAAAGUCUUUGGGACACAUGUAUCUGAUUACUCAUAAAGCAAACAAUUAUAUUUGCAUUAAUUCCUGACUAUUCUUUAGGGUAAUCAGUCCAUAAGCUGGUUUGGUCAAAUGACUUAGGAAUCUCUGAGACCAAAGGUUUUGUGAAGGCAGGGCCAUCCAAGUCUGUCUCCUGCAUCACUGUGACUUAAAGUAGGCAAAGAGUGAACCAAUGAAUAAAAUCAGAGUGCACACAGAAAAAAAGUGAGCAUGAGUGUAACUUAUCUUAACGCAUGGAUACAAGUUAAGUUAUUCAAGAAAAACAGAACCUCUGAAUGAGUGAGUCUUAGAGUGCCCGACCCUAAUCCAAAAGGACUGCUGACCAGUGUAAGAAGAGGAUCUUUCUACUGCAUCUGAGGGCCACAGAGAUCUUUUUAUUUUAUUUUUUUGAGACAGGGUCUCACUCUGUCAUCAAGGCUGGGGAGCAGUGGCUGGAUCAUGGCUUACUGCUGCUUUCACCUCCUAGGCUCAGACAAUCCUCCCACCCUAGCCUCUCAAGUAGCUGGGACUACAGGCUUUUAAGAUCACUUAACCUAACUACCCCAUCCUUUUAGACGCAAGUAACAGAGCAAAACUUUUAGCACACUUGCUAUUUAGUCCUGUGAAUCUGUGACUGUGUUUCACUGGAUCUGGGCCUGGUGACAGUGGUGUAGAGGGAGUGUUGCAGGCACGUACACAGAUUGCCGUUCAUGAUUUUGCUGUAGUCGACUUGUCCUCUCAUGGCACGAAUUUUCUUCAGCUUGUUCUCCUGGGCUUCAACUCGUUCUUUCAAUUUCUGAAGCUUUUCAUUUUCAGAAAUAGACUGCUGCUGACGGCGCUCCUGUUGCUUUAGAAAAUGUAAACGCUGUUCCUAACAAAAGAAAGAAAAAUGUAACUUUGAAAAUUGAAGGCCAGGCACGGUGGCUCAUGUCUGUAAUCCCAGCAUUUUGGGAGGCUGAGGCAGGUGGAUCACCUGAGGUCAGGAGUUCGAAACCAGCCUGGCCAACAUGGUGAAACUGUCUCCACUAAAAAUACAAAAAGUAACCGGGUGUGGUGGUGUGUGCCUGUAAUCCCCACUACUUGGGAGGCUGAGGCAGGAGAAUCACUUGAACCUGGGAUGCAGAGGUUGUAGUGAGCCAAGACUGCACCACUGCACUCCAGCCUGGGUGACAGAGUGAGAUUCUGAGGAAGGAGGAAGGAGGAAGGAAGAAGGAAGAAGGAAGGAAGGAAGGAAGGAAGGAAGGAAGGAAGGAAGGAAGGAAGGAAGGAGGGAGGGAGGGAGGGAGGGAGGGAGGGAGGGAGGCAGGGAGGGAGGGAGGGAGGAGGAGAGAGAGAGAGAAGAAAGAAAGAGAAAAGAAAGAAAGGAAGAAAGAAAGAAAGAAAGAAAGAAAGAAAAAGAAAGAAAGAGAAAGAAAGAAAGAAAGAUGGUUACUUUUAUAUACUCAAAAAGAAAAAUAUGAGUGUAUUCUACAGUAUCGCUCAUAUUAAUGAAUACUAAAACACUAGCCGGAAUCUUAAAUCAGACUACACAAAGCUGAAAUUAUUGGGCAUACUAAAUAUGAAAUGGUAAGAGUUGGGGGAUUUUUAAGAGAGGGCGUUUUAUUACACACUGAUCUACACCAUUAAGUUAAUAUAAGCGCUUCUUCAGAGAACAUGCACGAACACAAUCUCCUCUUCACGCUAUCAAAUCUGUGAAGUCUCAGCGAGCCUUACUUUCCUGCUGCCAGUAAUACAUUUACUGCUGCUACAAAGUGGCUUCCAAGAAUCUCUUAUUUCACUUCCUAAAGGAAAUGAGCAUUAAGCAGCAGAGGAUUUUAUACUGAAAAGAAAUAAGGUGAUCAGUAAGGAGAUACAUCUUCAAUUUGCUAUAAUAUGGAACAAUCAAGGAAGUGCCUGCUUUCACCAGGAUUACUUUCUUCAAUAAUGAAACAUUUUAGAGUCUAACACUAACAGAACAAUCCAAAAAUAACAAUAUAUGCAAUACUCUCCAAUAGGUGUUUUUCCCCUAUUAAUGUGAAAACAUACCUUAAAGAUAAGAGUAAACAUUAAAUAUUCAUGGUCCCAUAUAUACGCAUAAAAUAUUCCUAAAUAAGGAGAGGUUUAAGGUGUGACUAUGAAGGCACUAAUACUACACUUUAAGGUAAGGCAAUAUGUACUUAAAUAUUUCAGAUGUAGCAUUAACUUGUGAUUUAUACAGCUGAAAAUAUCUAAAACGUUUUUUAACAGCAAUACUCUUGGAUCAAUAUUUGGAAAAAAUGGCAUACUAUGACAUAAUACUAUGUAUAUUUUAUCUUAGAAAUCUUAUAAUGGGAUAAAGUACUUUUUAAUUAAACUUAACUUUCCAUCAUUCUUAUUCUCAGAAAUCCAAUAAACAUUGAGACAACGUUUUAAAACAAGUCCAAUCCAAAUCAUUAUUUACAUAAAAGUGGAUACUACAAUGAAGUAUACAUUCAAUAAAUUUUAAAAAAUCAGACUGGAUAUUUAGUCACUAAGAAGAUCUCUCUGCAGAAAAAAAACAAAAAGAACCUAGUUGGUAAUAAAGUUUAUCCUUAAAGCAGUUUUGGAAUAUUUUAAGAUCUUUUACAACAAGAAUCAUUUCCAGGAGGCAUGUGUGAUAGAGCUGAUGUUUCAAUUAAGUAUGACUAAACCACUAUUUAGAAAAACUUGAGUUUCAAUAACCAAUGUAGAAUUCAGUGUAUACAAUGAGCAUUAACUAUGCCCCACACUAAUAAACCAAGUAAGUCCAGCCUAGAGCAGCACACUGGGAAGCCCUGUUAACCAGCUGUCACCGUCUUCAGAACCCCCCCAUCAGUGUUUUCAGCACGGAUCACUGCUUUCUUCUUGAACUAAUACCAACGACAUAGCCAAGAACACAUCCAGAGGCACAAGGAGGUAACAAAAGCAUCCUUCUUCCCUUUUUUUUUUUCUAAAUACAGGGUCUCACUUACUCUGUCUUCCACGCUGGAGUGCAGUGAUAUGAUCUCAGCUCACUGCAACCAACUCCUGGGCUCAAGUGAUCCUUCUGCCUCAGCCACCCGUAUAGCUGGGACCAGAGGCACAAGCCACCAUGCCCAGCUAAUUUAUUUUAUUUUUCAUAGCAACAGAGUCACUAUGUUGCCCAGGCUGGUCUUGAACUCCUGGGCUUAAACAAUCCUCCUGCCUUAGCUUCCCAGAGUGCUGGGAUUAUAGGCAUGAGCCACUGUGCCUGGCCCCUUUCCAAAUUUUAUCUGGUCAUCAGUUUCCAGUAUGGGAUAUCUGUUGUGUGUGUCAAGGAUGAGAUGCUCUUGUUCUGAUAACUUUCCAACUUCCACAAGCUACAAUCUGCAAGUGUUAUUGUGGAAGUGAUAACAAAGAGAGAAAGACAUUGUGUUCAUCACUCCCACGGCAUGGUCCUAUUUUAUAAGCAUUACCCAAGAAUGUAUUAACCCCAGUCUAAAGUGAUGGUUAAAGAAGGGACUUUUUGAACAGUAUUUCAAUACCUCUUUCUGUAACUUACCUUGGCAACCAACAUCUGCUGCUGAUUUUCAAUCUGCUGCUGUUGCCUGGCUGCCAUAUCUUGGAGCUCUGAGAGGGUCAGUUCAACACGUGGAUUCCCAACCUAAACAAAAAGCACUUAUUUUGGAACAUAUGUUUGUCUGCAUACCUGUCUUUCUCCAGUGUCCAAACUUGUACAUAUCAGGACUUUACAUAGGAUCCCUAGAUUGGAAGAGUACCAACUAGUUUAUUUUUCUUGUAAGAACUUUUCCUAAUUGUUGACUGCUCUUAUUAAAUAUAAGUAACUUUUUCAAAUGCAUAAACAUCAGACACUGUAUUUAGCAAGGGCUCAAGUUUAAUCAAACAUUUGGCAACGUGUGUUACAAGUGACAUUCCUCCUUCUGCAGUGACAAUUGAGUAGGUAUAUUUGAGCAAGUGAGGCUGUCAGAUGUUUAAGAAUACACCACCAAAAAAAUAAAUAUGCAGGUAACACCUAAGAACAAAUGUCAUCUUGCUGUCACCUAGCCUCAGGAAACGAAAAUAUGUAACAGAUUCGAAUACAUGAAUACCUCACUAAAAACACUGUUUGUAUGACUUACAUGAAGAACUGACACAUCAUCCAAGAAUUCCAUAUGUGAAAUCAACACGCAAAGGUAACAUCGAGAGGAAUACAAUUGGCUGCUUCUCUAUUCUCUGUCAAUGAUACCCUGAACUAAACACUUUACAUAUAUGGACCCAUUUCAGCCUCAGAAUGACUGAUGAGGUGGGUACUGUUACAUCCCCAUUUUACAGAUAAGAAAGCAAGCACAGGGCAGUCAGCUUGUCAGGCAGAGUAGAGACGCAGAGUCCCUGUUCUUGACUGUUUACUCACAGUUCUUUACUUACUAAGCCCACACCAAGUGCAGUGUACUGUGACAGAUGUGUUAUGAGCACUGUGCCGUAUGCGCUUCAAAACGAGUCUUCAUGGGGUUGGGGGGGUUAUGUGAGCCCCCCUGUGGGUGAGGAGCAAUGGGGGUGAGGGGAAGGAGCAUGCCUGAGGCACGAGGCUCAUUAAAGCAGCAGAGCUCCAUUCCCACAAGCCCAUCUUCUUCCAAACCCUUCAGUUUUGAGCAAGGAGGCCACACAGUCCCUCCUCAGACCCCCACAUUCUAUUUCUAGGUUCAUUUAUGCCCUUAGGACACCUUUACCUUCUGCCACCCUUAAACGUCUUACAAUUCCUAUUCUUCCAGCUCCAUGCCUUCCCAAACUUUUAUAAUAUUUGAGCACAUUCUUGACUACUGAAAAAUGGGAUGAGGAUUUGUUUACCAGUCUUAACUGGAACCACCAUUCUGUUUAUCUACAAAAUCUGGAGAAAGCAAUACGGUACAAGACUUUUUUUUUUUAAUUUAGAGACAGAUUCUCUCUCUGUCACACUUUUUCUCUGUCAGGCUGGGGUAACAUGGCACAAUCACUGUAGCCUCAAGCGAUCCUCUUGCCUGGCCAGGAUUAUAGGCACACGCCACCGUGCCUGGCUGAUUCUUAAAUUUUUUGUAGAGGCAGAGGUCUCACUAUGUUGCCUGUGCUAGCCUCGACCUCCUGGGCUCGAACAAUCCUCCCAUCUGGGCCUCCCAAAGCGCUGGGAUUACAGGUGCAGGCUACUGUGCCCAGGCUUAAACACUUUUUGACUAGAGGAAAACUACGUCCAUUCAAUAGAUCUUUCAAUUUAUAUUAAUUUCAUAAUGUCACAACUUGAAGAAAAAAAUCAAAAACUACCUUUCUGGUCUCUCCCACCAAUGGCUUUAUGAAACAAUGGAAAGGGGAUAGAAGAGAGAUUUAACUGCCUGGUGUUCUGAUGUUUACAUCUACGAAUAAAGUAGGGCUUAUUAAAAUAUUUUACUUACCUAAACCAAAAAGUAUUUUAUUUGCCAAUACGUACAUUUAUACUUGCUUUAUGUUACAUGUGUUCUUCUAAGUACAAAAUUAAGAUAUGCCAUGUUGUCUUAAGUAAUUCAGUCACUGUAUCUUAUAUAUCAACUUAUAUUGUAAUGAAAUUAUACUGAAGAGCUUACAUAUAGAAAAGUGUAAUAAAUCAUAAUGCACAGUCCAAUGAAUUAUUUCAAAGUGAA